rnacentral:rRNA from 1 species
UGCGCAGGCGGUCUUGUCCGUCAGGUGUGAAAGCUCGGGGCUCAAACCCCCGGAAGCGCACUUGAAACAGCAAGACUUGAAUACGGGAGAGGAGAGAGGAAUUCCUGGUGUAGAGGUGAAAUUCGUAGAUAUCAGGAGGAACACCGAUGGCGAAGGCAUCUCUCUGGACCGAUAUUGACGCUGAGGCGCGAAGGCGUGGGUAGCGAACG